rnacentral:rRNA from 1 species
AGCGAACGCUGGCGGCAGGCCUAACACAUGCAAGUCGAACGAAGUCUUCGGACUUAGUGGCGGACGGGUGAGUAACACGUGGGAACGUACCUUUUGGUUCGGAAUAACUGAGGGAAACUUCAGCUAAUACCGGAUAAGCUCUUCGGAGGAAAGAUUUAUCGCCAUUAGAGCGGCCCGCGUUGGAUUAGGUAGUUGGUGUGGUAAAGGCGCACCAAGCCUACGAUCCAUAGCUGGUCUGAGAGGAUGAUCAGCCACACUGGGACUGAGACACGGCCCAGACUCCUACGGGAGGCAGCAGUGGGGAAUCUUGCGCAAUGGUCGAAAGACUGACGCAGCCAUGCCGCGUGAAUGAUGAAGGUCUUAGGAUUGUAAAAUUCUUUUAGCAGGGACGAUAAUGACGGUACCUGCAGAAAAAGCCCCGGCUAACUUCGUGCCAGCCGCCGCGGUAA